AGUCGCGCCUUUCCUUUCUCCAAACUGCGCCCAAACGUGAUUUUUUGGAUGAAAGCCCUAGCUAACAUCUUCCCUAUUCAGCCACUUCAAGCCUUCCUUGUUCAGCUGCUCCAAGCUUCCCAUGCGAUUUAGACUCUCCCGAUUCAGAUUCUUGAGGAUGGAGAAAAAUAGUGAAAACCAGUGAAAACAAAGGAAACGAAGAAGGAAAAGCAGAAAAAAAAUCUAAGGUUUAAGGACAUAUUCCAGGAGCUGUAUGAAGCUGAAUGGAAAUCCAAGUUUGAGGCUGCAGGAAUCUAGUAUGAACAUCGCCACAUUGAUGACAUGGUUGCCUACGCACUUAAGAGUGAAGGUGGCUAUGUAUGGGCUUGCAAGAAUUAUGAUGGAGACAUACAGAGUGAUUUCUUGUCUCAAGAUUUGAACUUUCUCACCAUCCAUCACAUUAAGCACUUCUGUUUUAAAAAGAAUGUGUUCUUAGUGCAAAAGUGAAAAGCAGUUUUUAUAAAUUAUUUGUUGUUGGCUUUUGAAAAUCAAAGCUAGGGAUUAGUUUGUCUCGAUCACCAGAUUUUUUUCCCCUAUAUUUUCAGAUUUGGGAUCCCUUGGUCUGAUGACAUCAGUACUGGUAUCCAUCCUUCUAGCAAAUCUGGUUGCUUAUCUGUGGAAAAUGUCUUUAUAUUUUUGUAUGGAUCUUGGUUUUAUUUAAAUCUAUUCAUGGUGGGAAUAGCAUGACUGGUAGUUUUAGAAUAUGGAUUGCAAAUUGUGCUUCUUUAAUGUAUUGAGGUUUCCAGAGGGCUGUAAAGAAGAAAACAUGAUGCCUUGUUUUGGUUGAAAUGAAAUCAUGCAUUCUGAAUUCAAUGCAUAGUUAUUAACUUUUGUGGUAGUUUUUAUCGCAACUUCUCUAUCAUUGGUUUAUGUUAUUCCUUAUCUGUUUACUAUUUUAAGUCUUUAUUUCUGGAACUACUAUCUUCUCUAUGCAGAUACCAUCAUUGUAUAGUCUGUGCUGUUCAUAUCUAAUGUUUAUUUAAUUGAAGUAGCAAUUUCAUUUGGGCCCUGAUAGAGUUUCGGAUUAUUGAUUUUCCUGGCUUUGUCUUGGGGGUGACUUCUAUGUUCGGGGGGCAUCUCGUGGAGUUAGUCAUUUUUGUGAACCGAAUUAUCCCCAAAGUGAUCCGGAUGCCUUGGUCUUUUGAAACGUAAUGAACCUGAUAAUAUCAAACUUUCCAUUAAUUGGAUAAUUUGUACAUUUCAUGUCUUCUAUGUGGUGGUUUUGCAGAAACAUGUCAUGCUCAGGAUUAGUUUUUUGUGAAGUGAUGCUAACUUAGAGUAUGAUGGAAACUUUUCUCUCUUUUAGGUGUGCCCUGAUGGAAAAACUAUUGAAGCUGAAGCUUCGUAUGGCACAGUAACCCAUCAUUAUAGGAUUCACCAAAAAGGAGGUGAAACCAAUACAAAUAGUAUUGCUUCAAUCUUUGCCUGAUCACGAGGGCUUGCACAUAGGUAUUUUUGGCUUUCUUUUUGAUUAUUGUGGUGGUUGUAGCUGCAAGCGCAAACUGGAGAGAUUUCUUUUUAUUUCUUUUACCUAAUUUAUAUUUCAAGAAUUUGUUUAUUUGUUUUUCAUUAUAUGUAUUUCAAGACUUUGUAAGGUUUUCUUGUUUUGUUGGUCUAUGCUAGAGAAACUAUUUGCAUAUCAAUAAUUUUAAGAGUCACCCAAUUAAAUAAUAGUAUUCUACUUCUUGAGCACCAUGGUUGCUUAGGUUUCAGCCCUACAUUUAGAUGAAAAUUCCAAAUCCCAUAAUAUGUUUGAUUUUCAACAAAGCAAAGCUAGAUCACAAUCAUAGACUACUUGAUUUUAUUGAGAAGCUGGAAGCUGCUUGUGUUGGAACUGUGAAGCCUGGAAAGAUGACUGAAGAUCUUACCCUUCUCAUUCAUGGGCCAAAGUACCAUUUAACUCUCAUGUCACUACUAUUGUUUCUAAAUGGUAGCUUUCUUCUAUUUUAAAUCAUCAAACAAUAGAUGGUGUUAUGCUUUUCAUCUCUUACAGAGUGACUCGAGACCAGUGGCUGAACACUGAGGAGUUCAUCAAUGCAGUGGUAGAGGAGCUGAUAGCAAGACUCCUGGCUUCAUAUAUCUUUCUUUUGCAGAUUCAAAUUGAGGAUAUGAUGGAUAGUGCUAAGGAAAGAUAGAGAUUGUCUUGCUGAUGGCUUCAUAGGUUGAUGAACUCUUAGAUUUUGUAAAGUUAAUUUUUUGCUGUCGUCAAUUUGUUUACUUUAUUCUCUUUUUGGUGUAGCAAAAGUAAACUUAAAACUUAUAUAUAAAAUGCAAGAGAUCAGUUAGAACUUGUUUAUUCCA